rnacentral:rRNA from 1 species
AACAUAGCCUUUAGCUAAACCAGUAUUAAAGGUAAUGCCUGCCCAGUGAAAUAUUUUAACGGCCGCGGUAUCCUAACCGUGCAAAGGUAGCGUAAUCACUUGUCUUUUAAAUAAAGACUAGUAUGAACGGCUAAAUGAGGAUACAUCUGUCUCUCCUAAUGAACCAGUGAAACUGAUCUUCAAGUACAAAAGCUUGAAUAAAACCAUAAGACGAGAAGACCCUGUGGAGCUUAAAAUCAAUACUAUAACCAAAAUAAGCAUAGAUUCCGAUUUUGAGUUGGGGCGACUUCGGAAUAAAACAAAACUUCCGAGCAUGGGGCCACAACACCCCUACCAAGACCAACAAGUCAAAGAAACACUGACCCAGUCUUACUGAAUAACGAACCAAGUUACCCCAGGGAUAACAGCGCCAUCUUCUUCAAGAGUCCCUAUCGACAAGAAGGUUUACGACCUCGAUGUUGGAUCAGGACACCCAAAUGGUGUAGCAGCUAUUAAAGGUUCGUUUGUUCAACGAUUAACAGUCCUACGUGAUCUGAGUUCAGACCGGAGCAAUCC